CCUACGGGAGGCAGCAGUGGGGAAUUUUGGACAAUGGGGGCAACCCUGAUCCAGCCAUGCCGCGUGUGUGAAGAAGGCCUUCGGGUUGUAAAGCACUUUCGGACGGAACGAAAUCGCGCGGGCGAAUAUCCCGCGUGGAUGACGGUACCGUAAGAAGAAGCACCGGCUAACUACGUGCCAGCAGCCGCGGUAAUACGUAGGGUGCGAGCGUUAAUCGGAAUUACUGGGCGUAAAGUGUGCGCAGGCGGCCGAGCAAGCCGAGUGUGAAAUCCCCGGGCUUAACUUGGGAAUUGCGCUCGAAACUACUUGACUGGAGUGUGGCAGAGGAAGGUGGAAUUCCACGUGUAGCGGUGAAAUGCGUAGAGAUGUGGAGGAACACCGAUGGCGAAGGCAGCCUUCUGGGCCAACACUGACGCUCAUGCACGAAAGCGUGGGGAGCAAACAGGAUUAGAUACCCUGGUAGUCCACGCCCUAAACGAUGAUGACUAGUUGUUGGGGGAGUUAAAUCCCUUAGUAACGCAGCUAACGCGUGAAGUCAUCCGCCUGGGGAGUACGGUCGCAAGAUUAAAACUCAAAGGAAUUGACGG
rnacentral:rRNA from 1 species